rnacentral:lncRNA from 10 species
AAAAUAUUAAACUUGUAUACUCUCAACAGUUAUAUUAUAAAUAUUUAUUCAGGUAUGGUCAAAAUUUAUCCAUAUUAAUGAUAAUUAUUUAAAUGCUCUUUAGCUGUUCAUCACCAUAUUAAUACUAGGAAUAAUGACGGCUAAUUUUAAUUGAGUACUUCCUAACUGUGGCCCAGUUACAGUAAAAUAAACACUAUUAGAUACACUCCAUCGAUUAUUACAGCAAGUCUAUGAAACAUACUGUAUUACACAGCCAGUAUUAGAAAUGAAAAACUCAUGGGAAGGAUAUGUAUAAAACUUGCUCAAAGUUACCCAGCUAAUAAGUGGCUAGGACACAAUUAAACACCUAUGCAGUUUUCUUUCCUGAGCUGAAAUCCUAAAUCCUUGGCUGUAUGGCCCCUCAUUCAAAAGUCCUAAACUGGCUAAAAUUUAUAUAACAGAAAAUUCACAGAAUCAUUUCCUUCUACUUUCCACUACCAGGGCUGUUAACAGUCCCAAGCAAAAGGGCAAAAUUUUUUUCUACUUGAGAUAAGAAAAAUAUAGAGUGUGACAGAAGGUAUUCUACCAAUAUAAAAACACUUUACCAGGAAAACUGAGAAGGGGGCUGUUAACCUUCCGGGAAAUGUAGGUCUUCAGUGGAUUCCUGUUAGAGACCCCCAAAUUUCUUUCAAAAAAAAUUUGUAAUGUUCUUUUUCAGUGAAGCCUUUGCACUGCUAGAGCUGAAGAAUGUGAUCAAUCGGCUUGUUGAAUAAUCCCGCACAGUAGGUAUUCCGCUGAAGCCAACUCUAGCUGGGGGCUCGAGAGCGAAAGACACAGAUGGGGCCCUGCCGCCCCUCGAAGAGUCGGAUGGGGGCGCCCGUCCCCGGUGCAUCAAGAGGCUGGCCCCGCCAGGGGCGAGCGGCUGGCACCGAACCCCGCGCACCUCGCCGCGGGCGGGGCUGGGCCGUAGUCGGCUCGAUUUAAGGCUGGUAUCCAAGGCUGCGGCCGGUCAGGCGAGGCGAGGCGAGGCGACGUGAGCGAGGGUGCUUAGGGAGAACAGCCGCUGGCAGCUCAAUGCUGGGUGGCUAACGCUCGACGGUGCCCGGCAGCAACCCGGCCGACACCCCGACCCGGAUCCCGAGCUGCGUCGCGGACAAUGCCGCGGGCCCGUCCCGGACUACGACUCCCGACGGGCUCUGCGACCGCUCCGGGGCGGCCCAGCGUGCACUGCGCCGGCCAGUUUGACAGCCGGGCGCCCUACUCGGCUAGCUCUGCUCCCAGCCAGGGACGCUGGCCUUCUCGCGGCUUUCCCCCGAUGUCUCUCUUUAUUCCAGCUGCCUGAAACUCGGUCCCACGAAUGGCAGGCAGCGUCCAAAAUUCAACCCCGUAAAGCCAGCACCAGCCAAUAAAGCGCACGGAUGGAGGCCACGUGACAGCAGUGGGCCGGCCCUCCGGCUGAGCCCUGAUCUCUAUGGUUUCCGCGGCUCGCUAGAAGGAGUGCGGUCCACUGGAGGUCUCCCUACAUUCUUCCUCCAUUAUCUCACUGCCUCCGGUGGCUGCUGGGAUACCGGAGGACUCGGGUCCCGGCUCGACUCAGUCCUCCAGCCGCCCGGGGAAUACCUCUAGUUCUUCCCGGCCGCCGCCGCCUCCGCCCCGCCGCUUCCUCCUCCGCCUGCCGGCCUCCUUCGCCCCGCCCCGUCCGCGCAGCUCGUCCGGCCCGCCCGCAGGCCAGCUUCUCUCGGGAGCCUCCACCCAGGCGCAUGGCUCCAUGAAGCAAGAGGAGGAGGCAGAGCGCGAGAGAUCCCGUCCGCCCCAGCCGCGUCUGGGCCAGGAGAAAAGCAAAACCAUAUUCCUGCUGCUGUCAGUUUUGAUGCACUGAGAAAACUUCAGAGACCUAAGCUUUUUCCAGAGAAGAGAAGCUUUACUGGUGUUCCAGCCCUAAGGCUCAUAUGACAUUAACAGACAAGACACUUUUCAGAAAGACAGGCAACGUGUUGGACCUUCCGGAGCUUCUCAGAAGACAGAGGGUUUUCUUUUGAGGUAAAUUUGAUAGUACAUUUUGAUAGUACAGGAGGCGAUACGGCAUGGUGACAGAAAAGCGCCGGCUUGGUUAGCGGGACCACCUGGCAGGGCUGCAGGCUGUGCCACUUACCAGGCAGGGGACCUUGGGCCAGCUGCUUGGCCUCACUCACCCUGUUUCCUCAGCUGCAAUUGGGAUGAACAGACUGCCUGCUUCGGGGUUGCCUAAAACUCACAUUGCUUAAUGAUGUGAAAUGCUUAGCGCAGUGCCUGGCAUAGAGAGAAUUCUCAUUAGAUGAUACCUCAGCUGGGCUUUAGGAGCUACAGAAGAAGCUGCAUCUCCAUGAGCUCAGCGUGUUUCUAGCUUUCCUUUUUGUUUUCUAUUCAACCUUUCACCCAACUCAGCUUCUCAAUCCCUAAAUGACAAAGGUUUGGGAAGGAAGACUUGGACCGAUG